AACCCAUUUUUCUGGUCAACCUCGACCACAACUGGACUCCUACUAGGUACAAACUUGUUCUCUACAUUCCUAACUUCAAAAUGGCUUUUGAAUCACUGAGUUUGGUUAAAUAAUGAGUUAGAAAUCAAUUCUGGAAGUUAGGAAGAAAUUUCCAGUUUGCUAGAAAUCUACAAUCGUGGUCAUUUAACCACUUUCAGGCCAAAUUUCUGAACAACUCGGACCGUAUUCGAAUGUUCUAUGAAUUGGGAUCGAUACAUCACAUUCCUAGCUUUAAUUUGGCUUUUGUAUAAGUGUUUUUGGUUAAGAAUCGAGCUCGUUAGGAGCUCUGAAAGUUGGCCCAAAAAUCUGCAAAACUGCAGAAAAUCGCAAGGCGAGUACGCCUGUAGUCGCGGGCAC
rnacentral:lncRNA from 1 species